rnacentral:rRNA from 1 species
CAGUCGCCACGGGAAUACGAAGGGGGCUAGCGUUGCUCGGAAUGACUGGGCGUAAAGGGCGCGUAGGCGGCGAUCAAAGUCAGGCGUGAAAUUCCUGGGCUCAACCUGGGGGCUGCGCUUGAUACUUGGUUGCUUGAGUGGGGAAGAGGGUCGUGGAAUUCCCAGUGUAGAGGUGAAAUUCGUAGAUGUUGGGAAGAACACCGGUGGCGAAGGCGGCGACCUGGUCCAUUACUGACGCUGAGGCGCGAAAGCGUGGGGAGCAAACAGGAUUAGAUACCCCUGUAGUCCCUGUCUCUUAUAC